rnacentral:rRNA from 1 species
UACGUAGGGGGCAAGCGUUGUCCGGAAUCAUUGGGCGUAAAGAGCGUGUAGGCGGCCCGGUAAGUCCGCUGUGAAAGUCGGGGGCUCAACCCUCGAAUGCCGGUGGAUACUGUCGGGCUAGAGUGCGGAAGAGGCGAGUGGAAUUCCUGGUGUAGCGGUGAAAUGCGCAGAUAUCAGGAAGAACACCGAUGGCGAAGGCAGGUCUCUGGGCUGACACUGACGCUCAUGCACGAAAGCGUGGGGAGCAAACAGG